UACGUAGGGUGCGAGCGUUGUCCGGAAUUACUGGGCGUAAAGAGCUCGUAGGUGGUUUGUCGCGUUGUUCGUGAAAACCGGGGGCUUAACCCUCGGCGUGCGGGCGAUACGGGCAGACUUGAGUACUGCAGGGGAGACUGGAAUUCCCAGUGUAGCGGUGAAAUGCGUAGAUAUUGGGAGGAACACCAGUGGCGAAGGCGGCUACCUGGACCGGUUCUGACGCUGAUGCGCGAAAGCGUGGGGAGCAAACAGG
rnacentral:rRNA from 1 species